GGCUUAUUGAGUGAUAAUUUUAAGUCAAUUCUGCCCAAUGAUUAAAAAAAUUUAAUGGCUGCAGUAUAAUUGACUGUACAAAGGUAGCAUAAUCAAUUGUUUUUUAAUUAAGAACUGGAAUGAAAGAGUUAAUGAGAUAUAUUCUGUCUCAUAUAUAUUUAAUUAAUUUAAAUUUUUAGUUAAAAUGCUAAAAUUGAUUUAUGGGACGAUAAGACCCUAUAGAAUUUAAUAUUAAUAUAUUGAUUAUAAUUUAAUUAUUAAAUAUUAAUAUUUUGUUGGGAGGAUAGAUAAAUUUAUAAAACUUUAUUUUAAAUAUUAACUUUAAUUAAAGAAUAAAUAUUUUUGAUCUUAUAAUAAAAAUUAAAAGAAUAAAUUACCUUAGGGAUAACAGCGUAAUAUCUUUUUAAAGAUCAUAUUGAGAAAGAUGAUUGCGACCUCGAUGUUGAAUUAAGAUAAAUUUUAAAUGAAGAAAUUUAAUAAUUAAGUCUGUUCGACUUUUAAAAUCUUACAUGAUUUGAGUUCAAAUCGACGUAAGU
rnacentral:rRNA from 1 species